CGCUGCUCUCAGGGCAGGAGUGCGCCAUAUGUUUGUUUUGUGUUUGUAUUUUUACUGUAAUAUGUGUUUCUCUCAGGGCAGGAGCAGACUAAUGUGCAUUAUUUUGCCCUUUAAACAAGUAACCACUGAGUUCAAGCAAAAUGAAUGUUCUACGCCAAUUGAUUUCGGGACAGUUAAGCACCAAAACACAAAUUGGGAAAAUUGGGCCAUAUUCCCUAUAUAUCUCCAGCUUUCAGUCCCUUCUGGAAAACCAGGAACUUCCCGAUGAGAAGACACCAGGUUUAAUGGCAAUCAAUACCCACACCUUGAACAAUAUUCUUGAUGGGAACGUCAGGGCAACAACUCAUAGUUAUGUCAAGAAUAACAUUCUUGAAAAAGCAGAAGUUGUAAUUGGUCCAUACCUGGAGGGAGGGAAUCACUGGACUUUUUUCACUGCAACAUCGUGAGUAGAACAAUAACCUACCUAAACUCUUUUGGUGAGCAGAAAGAGAAUGGUCAGAAAAUAGCUGAGAAUUGGGGGACAUUUGCCACUGCAAAGGGAUGCCAGGGACCAUGGGACAUUUGCACAAGGGAGCAUGCCAUUCAGAGAUAUAGCAUUUCUUGUGGCAUCUUUACAGCUGUGUUUGCAGAGGCCUUUCUUCGUGGGGACCAGGGGUAUAAUAACUGCCCUUCAAUUCAUGAGGAAAGAGAAAGACUAGCACUUCUACUCUUCACUUCACUUGGUAGGUACAAUACAGG